CCUACGGGAGGCAGCAGUGAGGAAUAUUGGUCAAUGGGCGCGACCCUGAACCAGCCAAGCCGCGUGAACGAUGACUGCCCUCCGGGUUUUAAACUCUUUUUAUAAGGGAGUAAAGUACGGCACGUGUGCCUGUUUGUAUGUACUUUAUGAUUCCAGAUCGGCUAACUCCGUGCCAGCAGCCGCGGUAAUACGGAGGAUCCGAGCGUUAUCCGGAUUUAUUGGGUUUAAAGGGAGCGUAGAUGGGUUGUUAAGUCAGUUGUGAAAGUUUGCGGCUCAACCGUAAAAUUGCAAUUGAUACUGGCAGGCUUGAGUACCGUUGAGGUAGGCGGAAUUCGUGGUGUAGCGGUGAAAUGCUUAGAUAUUACGAAGAACUCCGAUUGCGAAGGUAGCCUACUAAACGGCCACUGACAUUGAUGCUCGAAAGUGUGGGGAGCAAACAGGAUUAGAUACCCUGGUAGUC
rnacentral:rRNA from 1 species